rnacentral:lncRNA from 1 species
CAGCAGGGCUGAGUCAGGCAUUUGAUCGAACACCUGCUCUGCAUUAUGAUUCUCGUUGAGGAAAGAGAAGUGGUCUCUGUGAACCUGAUACUCGUCAACACUCAAAUCAUUACCAUUACCGUUCAUAAAGCCAUGAUUGUUGUUAUUAUUACUAUUACUAUUACUAUUAUUAGUAUGACUCGCUCCACCAUUGACGACAUUGGCGUAGGAAAGACAGCUCAAGGAAGAAGGAGAAGACUGGUUAUUGUUGGUCUGCAAUUUCUCAUAAGAGAUUCUCGAGAGUGACAGAGGAGUGGGCCUGGAUGAUAAAAAUGGAGAAGGAGAAGAAGGAGUUGAAGGCGUUGAAGGAGUGUUGUUAGAUGCAGAGGUUGAAGAAGAAGUGGAAGAAGAAGAAGGGGAAAUUGGUAAGCCUAAUUGGG